AUUGAACGCUGGCGGAAUGCUUUACACAUGCAAGUCGAACGGUAGAGGGGGCAACCCCUCGAGAGUGGCGAACGGGUGAGUAAUAUAUCGGAACGUGCCCAGUCGUGGGGGAUAACGUAGCGAAAGUUACGCUAAUACCGCAUACGAUCUAAGGAUGAAAGCGGGGGAUCGCAAGACCUCGCGCGAUUGGAGCGGCCGAUAUCAGAUUAGGUAGUUGGUGGGGUAAAGGCUCACCAAGCCAACGAUCUGUAGCUGGUCUGAGAGGACGACCGGCCACAAUGGAACUGAGACAGGGUCCAGACUCCUACGGAAGGCAGCAGGGGGGAAUUUUGGAAAAUGGACGCAAGUCUGAUCCAGCCAUUCCGCGUGCAGGAUGAAGGCCCUCGGGUUGUAAACUGCUUUUGUACGGAACGAAAAGGUCUCUCUUAAUACGGGGGGCUCAUGACGGUACCGUAAGAAUAAGCACCGGCUAACUACGUGCCAGCCGCCGCCGUAA
rnacentral:rRNA from 1 species